rnacentral:rRNA from 1 species
AUGGGGUGCAGCAGGCGCGAAAACUUCACAAUGUGGGAAACCGCGAUGAGGGGAUUCCAAGUGCUAACACUUUGUGUUAGCUGUUCACUUGCCUAAAAAGCUGGUGAAGUAAGGGCCGGGUAAGACGGGUGCCAGCCGCCGCGGUAAUACCUGCGGCCCGAGUGGUGGUCGUUAUUAUUGAGCCUAAAGCGUCCGUAGCCAGUUCAGUAAAUCUCUGGGUAAAUCGGGCAGCUCAACUGUCCGAAUUCCGGAAAGACUGCUGAACUUGGGACCGGGGGAGGUUGGAGGUACUCCUGGGGUAGGGGUGAAAUCCUGUAAUCCUAGGGGGACCACCAGUGGCGAAGGCGUCCAACCAAAACGGCUCCGACGGUAAGGGACGAAGCCCUGGGGCGCAAACGGGAUUAGAUACCCCGGUAGUCCAGGGUGUAAACGCUGCAGGCUUGGUGUUGGGGGUCCUACGAGGGCGCCCAGUGCCGGAGAGAAGUUGUUAAGCCUGCCGCUUGGGGAGUACGUCCGCAAGGAUGAAACUUAAAGGAAUUGGCGGGGGAGCAC